GCCUCAGAUUCCUUUAUCACCCCCUAGGCCGGAGCUGGCGCGACCAAUAAGGUGCCAGGUCCGCGGCCUCCCCGCCACCGACCAAUCACGAGCGAGCCCCCCCGCCGUCGCCUUCCGCCAAUGGGAGAAAGCCCGCGGGCCGGGCCGACGAGGCACACGGACCCCACGAGCGCGGCGGCGGCGGCGACAGCGGCGGGCCAGGCAAGAGCACAACAUGGCGGCGGGCAGGACGGACCGAGCUACAGCAGCGGCCGCGCGAGGAAGUGAGGAAACCUUGCUAAAACAUCAGUUUUUGAAGAGAUGGGCACAUCACCUAAACUAAGAAAAGUCCUCCUAAAGAUUUGAGAGAUAUAGGAAAGACAGGAUUUUUCUUCUGGAGAUCUUGAGCUAUGAGGAACUGAGGGCAGCCAUUAUUCUUGCUUCAUGGAAAGAGCCUUUCUGAGAAUGAAGACAUCACAGAGGAAGGCAGAAUUCAAACAGAGAGGGAGACAGAGUCCUGACUUCUUUGAACACCUAGAUCCAACUUUCCCCAAUAUGUGUAACCAUUUUGUCAUUGCUUUAUCAUUCUGAAGACCAGUUUUCCCAAUCCAUGUCAUAUAAAACAUGGUAACCAAUUAGUCCCAAGUUGCCUCCAUUCGAAAAAUCAUCCAGGUGACUAGAUUCUUAGGCUCAAUUUCAAAUUUCUGGGAGGAAGAGCUCUUGUUAGAGCUAGCUUUGGCCAAAUGUCCACCACUGAAUCAAGUAACAUUGUGGAAAGGGGGACAGGGUCAUGCAUAAACAUGGUUGUAUCCACUGUAACUCUAUGAAUGAAAGUAUGCUGGAGGGUAGAGGAUAGAGUAACACUUCUCAGAAAAGUAGGAGUAAAGGAUUAGGCAGACUAAACAAUGUCUGUCCACUUCCUGAGAAUAAAUAAAGGAAAAG
rnacentral:lncRNA from 1 species